ACUGACAACGACCCUAAUCGACUAAUCGGUCUUCCCUCUUCAGUUCCGUUUGAAUUUGAUCGAUCUUCAGACUUCAGUCAAGUAGUGAACAGACAGUUUUCGCUGUCUCCAUCUAUUAAAUUAAAUAUGUCGGGUAACGAUGAACACGAAGAUGAAGUUAGUUCAUUUAGUUCGGGCAAAUAUUCUUCCGUGGUUUGGAGCUAUUUUGAUAAAUUACCAGUUGGACCCGGGGGAAUUCAGAAGGCCAGUUGUACGGGUUGUGGAAAAGUGUUUAGUGCCAAUUCGGGAACAUCUAAUAUGAAACGACAUCUUCCCAAGUGUUUUGAUCUUAAUGAA